UGCACCAUGCACAUAAUAAGAAACGAUUAGUGUACAUAUAUUGCGAGCCAUGAUGAAACUCGCAUCAAUGUAGGUGCUCAGUAAAAAGGUCAGAGUGAAAUAGUAUUAAGCCUAUUAAUAUUUUUCUACAAUUCAGUAAAAACACCUAAUGAGCAGAAAAUGAACGGUAAAAGCAUUUUGACAUAAAAGAAAAACGUGUCAACGUAUAAGGAGAUAGAAGAUUAAAAAAAACUCUCAACGAAAAAAAUCUCGACCGGAAGCUUUUGAAAUAAAACUGUCUAAUAACAUCUUCCAAGUAAAGCAAUGGAUUUUUUGAAUCUAAUAAAAAAGAUUCGUUAAGUAUUUUCACUGUCGGUCUUGGAUUUCAAUUGAGUUUAAGGUAGUGAAAAAAUAAAAUUCCAAAGCAUAUUAUACAACAUAGACCAGCAUUGUUGUGCUUAAUCACGUAAUUGAUAACAUAUUCAAGUCAUCAAAGCAUCCGUAAUAUUUUCAGUUCAUAGAAAAGAAGAAUUAAGGAAUUGAGUUUUAGAAAACCACCAAAAGGAGUCUUACGUACUUCAUUUGCUUUCUGGCUGUGAGAAAUCAACAAUUACCCAAGCAACUGCCAGUGAAGCGAAAAUUAAUUUUAUAGACCUGGAUGAUAUGCCAUUUAUCGAUAAACCAUGAUUAUGGAGAAAGCCAAGAAUUAUUUAGGGCUUUGUUCAGUUUGGCUCAAAAGCUUUAGCUUUGCAAUAUAUUUAUUGAUGGAAUUGGUUCGAUAUGAUGACUGUUAAAAUGUUGACAAAAGUUCGUUAAGAUGACCAUUACAAUUGUCUCUAUAAUCGAACACAGCAGAUAUUACAAAGCGUAUGAUUCUUAACAACUAUGGAAUAGUAACUAUAGACCGUGAUAUGUUAUUUUAAACGUAACGGACCAAAUAGAGACCUUACUCACACGAUCAUACGAGUACCUAGCUCAGUCACCAGUGAACGGGUUAAGUGAAAACAAGAAAAGUCGAACAAGUCACGCUGUUUGUCUCCCAGAAUAGUCGUUACGUAAAAUCAGCAUCAUUAGAACUUUUCAGUACAUUUGUACUGUACUUACUGUAUACAAGUAAACUUACUAUAUUAUUAUACCCCUCUGCGGAUUAAGUGAAAAUAAGAGCUGAAUAUUAUAUUUACAAACAUAUUAUUAGAGUCGUUUAAUUUUUUAUUACUAAAGUUGCAAAUGAUCGCUAAUAUGUUUUACCGAAAUAACAGAUAAUGGAUUGUAAUGCUAUUGAUUGAAGUUCAUUCAGUCCUGUGUGAAAGCCAUAACGGGCACUAAAUAAAACUCCAUAUAUAUACUGCGCGAAACGGAUACUUACAAAUGAAUAAUGUCGGCAUACGCUGAACAAAAUAUACAAUUCCAAUUUAUUUCACACCGACCCACUGCGUCUAGCCCCUUAUCGUGGACUUCAAAAAUUAAAUAUAGUGACUCGAAAGUUUACAAAAACACUACAGCGACGGUUAAGUAUCGAGUGUGCCGUAUAAUAAAUUCGGAAAACAAUAAUAAAAAUAAUCAAUUAACUGUCGUAAACAUUAUUUAUUUCCCAUACGUAUUCGGAAAUAAUAGUUAAAAUAAUAAUAAUAAUAAUAAUAGAAGUUUGUUGCAACGACUUUACUCGAUGUAUAGGUAAACUAUGUUAACACGCUGCAAAAUCACGGGUCAUGGCAGCAAUAGUCGUUUACACGAAAAACUCGAUAAAUAAUAACGUUUGUGUGCGCCGAGUGUACUUUGUCGUUUUACCACGCCGCGUAAUGGUUUCCAAACACAAAAUAUCGCGUACACCUGGCAAUAAUAAUUAUUAUUACUACUAUUUCACAGAUUUGGCACAAGU